AAUACAAAAGAAAAAGAAACACUGGCCGUGGCGGAGUCACUUUCUCAGCGGAUUUUUCCAAUCUCCUCUCGAUUUUUCUUUGUGUGCGUCUGUUUCCUUCAUCUCAGUCACUUCACUAAACCGUAGCUCCGACGACGUGUCCAGCAUUAGCCUUACGGUGUCAAGCAUCAUUGUGGCAAUCUUCAAGUCGUCUUGGCACUCGUUGAAGCUUAGUGGCUUAGUUAGCUGACCGCUAACAAAGGAUCAAAGCGUUUCCAUCUUCACGUCGUCGAGCAAGCAGAAAUCGAGUGUGGAAAACGCCACCGCCUGCAGCUAUGUUGAUGGAGGAACUUUGUGUCGGCAAAGAGGAGCCUCCACAUCACAAGCACUCGACUGCUUGCAACACAAUGCAUGCGAAAGUGGUUGUUAACAGACUCGAAGCGCCACCCUUGCUCUUUUUAUCCAUCCGAGCACCGAGAUAGCAGCUAAUUUGGCUCAAUACAGACUACAAUUAGGGGGCGGAGCUGCAUGCUGUAUUUUUCGUCUGCACACGUGAGGAUGAGUCUGGAAAAAAAAAUAAUACUGUUUUUUUUUUUUUUUUUAAGACGGCCCACAGGGACAGCGGUAACAGAAUGUAAGUUAUACUCAGUGACACUGUCAUAAAUAAAUACCAAACAAAAAAUGAUAACAGUGUAAUUUUUUUUUUUUUUUUUUUUUAAUAAAACGCGGACCGGCCCAUCUGGCCGGCCGGCCCUUCUGGAAUCGUCCAGAAGCUCCCGAUUAGUCACUCCGGGCCUGCCCAUGGCAGAUCUCAAUGGUGUACAUGUUGUAAUACUCUCUCCUGAAUUCUGCACAGAACCUGCUCCAUGUCCAGACACCUGUGGGAUUAAAAAAAAAAAUCACAUUUACAUAUAUAGCUUGUAGACAAAUGUGACAACAGCACAAAAAAAGUACAUGUCAUUGCAUUUUACUGAAGUACUAACUGUUAAGCCAUUUAAAAUGUGCCCGUCUUCUGAAGGAGUCUGGAGAACCAAGGUCUCCGAUUCUGGAGCACACAAGAGCCAACGUGCAUAUAGCACGGUCACCUUCCCGAAGGACAACUUUUUCAAGUAUGUUGGCAGUCAAUACUUCUGGCAACUGUAAAAUAUAGGUGAGCCGACAAUGAAAAAGUAUCAAAUUUAUUAAAAAACAAACGUUUAAAAUGUAAUUGGCUUCUCAUGACAAUUACUAAACUCCCUGUGCAAUACUGCCUCAUUGGGCCCUGCCUCUGAUUAUAAUUACUAGUAUAGCAGUUAUGUCCUCAAUUUAGAUCAAAGGAAAUUAUGUCCAGGAUUAGGCAGCUGUCAGUGUCAUCCUCAACCUUUCAAAGAAAACAUAAUUUACACAUGACAUGCAGGUGAACGUUAUUACCAGGUAAGCCAUCAAUUGCAGUGAUGACCAUUCCCCUUAUCAACAUUGAUUGAUUAUCUUAUAGUUUUCUUUUACCUGUCUGAUUGAAGUUUAGUAAGAUAUAGAGGGGGUUGUCUUUGGAACGCUGAAGACAGUCUGUAGAGUUCCCUGGAGAAGAGGGGACGCUUUCUCUGUCCAGAAGGCAAAUCUGUGCCCAUGCCUUUAAAAAGAAAUGCAAAUAAAUCCAUGCCCAAUACCUCCCAAUGUUUUUUGACCUAAGUGUCACAAAAUGAAAAACAGACCACCAAAAAGGCUUUAAAAAUGUGACAAUGUUUGAUAAUUUCUCAGAAAUUAAAAAUACAAAUUUAUUUACAAUAUUUCAACAAUUCUGAAAAGCAGGAUGGUCUAACACUGUAAUGUCUGUUGAGAAGUGAAAACAAUCCAUUUGUGCUUCAAUAUAAAUCAUUAUUUUAGAUGAAAUAAAUUUCAUGUAACACUUCUGAUUUAACUUAGUUGCUCAAUUAAGGCAUUUACCCAUUCAUUCCUGAAUCAUUGUUGGCCAAUAGAAGCUAGAAAUGGCUCUGUUGCGGGUGCCCUCGACGUCGCUGUCGUUCCCAGUACCAGAGUUAUUGUGACACUCCAUGAAGAUAGUCCGCUUCCCCUUUGACUUGAUGACCAGGCGCAUAUAUUUUAUUGGGGGGUUAUCUGUUGGACGAAAAUUAAAAAAGCAAAGAGAAUCUUAAAAUGCAGCAGAUUAAAAUGACCACCACCUGAAAGAGAUUAACAAUAAUAAUUCAAAAAUAAAUAAAACUCAGCUCUGGACCUUCUCCCACCUGAGAUUCACAGUUUCUCUUAUUUUUAUUUUAACAUUUCAUAUCUCAUUUUCUACUUAAAAAACUAAAAUAGAAAAAGUGCCUCUUUUUUCAAUUAUUUAAAUAUCUUUAUAAAUAGCUUAUGGAGCUGCGUUUUUAAAAGGCCAAAAAUAGUCACUUGGCCUACAAAGGAUUUUUUUUUAAAAAAAAUGUAGAGGCUCAUAUAUUCAUGACCCUCUUUUCAGACUUAUAACACAAAUUGCUAGUAGAGCAUCAGUUUUUCUUACCUUUAACAAUGAAAUCACGCACCAUUUGUCGAACCUUAAGGCGCCCCACUUGAGUAGUUGGAAGCGUUCCGUCGACCAGGUACGUUAGAAGAUGCUAGGUAUCCACAUUCAUCUUCUCGGAUCACUCGAAGUAUCUAUUUAGACAAAUUCAAGCAUUUCACGCCACUCUAAGAAUUAAACUAACCACACAAGUUCGAUGUAUCCACUACUCGAGUCAAAGUUCGCAGGAACCUUUCGAAGAUCGUGGCGUACACACACGCAUAAAAAAACCCUCAAUGUCCGAGCCUAACGCAUAAAUCUAUAUCUCCCGUCAUCCUUCGGGAGAAAAUGGCGUCGAUCUGCGCGUGCGCAGUAGCAAACCGUCACAAUCGAUGCACCCGUCACGAUCGGGUAAUGACAGUAGGCUCACUAUCCUAUAUACCCUACCCACCGACGUCACAAAACCACGUGCUCGCUGUGUGGUUCCGCCCACGUGUCCGUCAUUUUGUCUCUGUAUUAGCAUUGUUUUCAAUUGAUCGAGGAAUUUAAAAUGCAUUUCAUGGAAGACCCGGUGCUUUCUGAUGCCGUAAACUCACUGGAUGUGUUGCAUAAAAGGUGUUAUGUGGAAAAGCUUCGUUCUAUACAGUCGCCAGAUCCAUAUUUGAUGCCCAAAUCGAUGUUUUUCGACCCACUGUCUUCGCCCUGUCUGCCUGACAUCUGCUACGCUGAUAUUUACAAUUAUCUUGUCCACACAAAAUCAGCCUAUUCUCACGAAAAUUUGAAAAACUUCAAGAGCUUGGAGGCUUAUAAAUACUUCGUUGCUGGUUGGGUGAAACAGGUCCUCGUCCACGAAAAUUCGGCAGGAAUCUAUCUUGUGCUUGGAAAGGUGAGUUACGAAAUUUUCAAUUCAAAAUCUUUUGUUAUUGCUAACAUCCACUGUCAAGUCUAGUGUAUUUCAUGUCGUUUGUCAAUGGAGUUAAGGCUUUUAAUGUUUAUAUGGUUUAGCGAUAGCACUCUCACUACAUACAUACGUGUAUGUUGUCGGCGAUUAGCCUAGCAAUGAUCUUAAUUGUGGUUAUUUGUCAGCCCCGUAGACGAGGCUUCUUUCACUUGGUACCAGCUAAAUAUUAUUCAAAAAAUAACGAUGGUGGAAGAAAGGGAAGUCACAAACAUCUUGAAUUUGAAACUAUGUCGUACUACGUCGUAUGUUGUCGGCGAUUAGCCUCGCAAUGAUGUUAAUUGUGGUUAUUUGUCAGCCCCGUAGACGAGGCCAGUUUCUUUCACUUGGUACCAGCUAAAUAUUAUUCAAAAAAUAACAAUGGUGGAAGAAAGGGAAGUCACAAACAUCUUGAAUUUGAAACUAUGUCGUACUACGUCGUAUGUUGUCGGCGAUUAGCCUCGCAAUGAUGUUAAUUGUGGUUAUUUGUCAGCCCCGUAGACGAGGCCAGUUUCUUUCACUUGGUACCAGCUAAAUAUUAUUCAAAAAAUAACGAUGGUGGAAGAAAGGGAAGUCACAAACAUCUUGAAUUUGAAACCAUGUCGUACUACAUCGUAUGUUGUCGGCGAUUAGCCUCGCAAUGAUCUUAAUUGUGGGUAUUUGUCAGCCCAAAACCCUCUAAGUAUAUCUUAAAUGCAUCUUACCGGAUAUAAAAUGACUACUACAUAGUCUGUGGUGAUUUUUUUGGUGCCCAGUUUUCACGUCGAAUUGCAGCCGUCCAUUUCGCUCUCUUUGGAUCCCUCGGAAUACGGUAAAACUUCAAGUCUCUCCUUCCAUCUUCUCUGUUAGUGCAACCAACAGCCACACACGCCUUCACCAUUUUGAUUAUUAAUGUUAAGGAGCAGAAAAACACGACGUAAAUAGGAGAAAUGUACGUAGCCGUAACAGGUUAACACUAUGUUUUGACGGACAAGUGGGCGGUACCAUUCAGGAGAGCGGAGUUGUGACGUCACGUGGGUAGGGUCUAUUCCCCUCACUAUCCACUCGCAGUGGCCUGCGCUUGACAGUGACGUUACUUAUUAUCGCUAUAUGAUUGGCCGAAGAGUCGAAAUGCUCUCCCGUGAAAUGCCUGUUUAAAAAUGUUCCCGUUGUUUUUGAGUUGUAGUACCGUUUGCUUAAAAGUGCCCAUUUAAAAAUUCGCAUGUAAAGCAGUCGAUGAUACCACACACAGAGCGUAUUAUUAACAAAUGUUAAAGUUGCAUAAAAGAGCAAAUUUACGUCAAUACGCUUGAGCUUUGGCGCGCAUGCGCACGCAUUUUUAAAAAAAAAACAUUUUUCCCUUUCAUACAUUUCAGUGAUUAGAAUACAUACACAGCAAUAAAUGACGUUCAGAAGUUACUCCCAACGAAAGUCUCACAACUUCCUAUGUUAUAAUCUAAAGUAACAUCACGAUCAUAUGAAAUCGCCACAGUGCCCAUAAGUAUCCAUCUCUAAAAUCUUUUUUUUUUUUAAUCAGUUUUAUUCCCUGGAUUUUAAUUGCGUGAGACUCAACCCCUUUAUUGUGUUUUGGUUUGUUAUUAUAUUUGAUGUUAUGUUUCUUUUUUCUUUAUUAUAUUUUGGUUUUUGUUCAUGAACAUUAUGUAAAGUAAUUUGUGCCAGUUUUUAACAUGUGGUUUUAAAGUGAUUUAUUAGGAGAGUUGAGAAUAAUUAUUCUUAAGAAUUUCCAUCCUUAUUGAAUAUCCAUCCAUCUUCCACCGCUUAAUCAGAGGGUCAGAAGAAGCACCUUCAACAGGAAAGAGUUCCUUCUCCUCAUAAAUGUUGUUCUGCUCCUCAAAGUCAGACAAAGAAUGAGGAAGAAUUAGGUCUCCUCAACCUGUCCUGGUGAACUCCAGGUUUCUUCCCAGUGAACGUGCCCAACAGAUCACCAGGGAGGUGACCUUACUGAAUAUUCAAUUAUUAAUAAUCUAAUUGAUGAUGAACAUGAUCUCAUUAUGGUUGCCCUUUCAAUCGUUUGAUGAGAACAAAGACAAGAAGUGAAAUACCUUUUAAUAUUUAUUGAUAACAAUAUUCUGGAAGAAUAACAGCAUCGAUGGGUUCUGAUUAACUUACCCUACCAAAUAGACAUGCAUAGGAGAGUUGAACCAGUCAGAACUCUCACCUACUAGUCCUUGAACCAGCAUAUAGUAUCAAAACGCAGUAUCUAGACAGUAAAUUUGCCUUUCUUAAAUGCAAACUUUGCCCCGGCAAAAAAAGAUGCACUUAAGGAGAAGAAAACAUUUGUAACAUAUGCAUCCUUUCUUUCAUUCAUUCAUUUUCAAUGCCACUUUUCCUCACGAGGGUCACAGAGGUGCUGGAGCCUAUCCUAGCUAACUACAGGCAGUAGGCGGCUUACACCCCUAAUAGUUUGCCAGCCAAUCACAGGGCACAAUGAGACAUACAACCAUUCACGCAGACACUCAUACCUACGCACAAUUUAGAGUGUUCAAUCAGCCUACCACCCAUUUUUUGGGCUGUGGGAGGAAAUUAGAGUCCCCGGAGAAAACCCACGCAGACACGGGAAGAGCAUGCGAACUCCGGAGCCCGGGAUUGAAUCCUUGAUCUCAGAACUGUGAGGCGGACGUGUUAACCACCCGGCCACCGUGCCGCCAUUUGCAUCCUGUUGGGGAAAAAAAAUCAUAUUCAAUAAAUUAAAAAAGAAAAAAAAUACUUUUUUAAUCCACUAAUAUGUAAAGACAAAUGAAAAUGAAAAAAAAUUCCCUGAGAAUUGCCACCUGAAGUGGGAGCAAACAUUUUUUUAGCCAGUGGUCAAAAAUUGAUAUUUGAUCUUUUGCCAGAUUGGUUGUUGGCCAUUUACCUGCAAUUACGGAAUACUAUGAAUUCUGUUGAAAACCCAGGCCACACCCAUGCUGAACCCAGGCCACAGAACAGGGCCGAUUGUAAUGUUUCAAAACCUAAAGAUGGUAUGGAAACUAUUGUCGCCAAAGCCAUCUGGGGUGAGCGAGUCCAGCAAAAACAGCUGUCGCUGUGCUGGCUUCAGUACCUGUUAAUCAUUUUCAAAACAAUUCUCAUAACAUUACAGAACUGUUGAUAUUUGAUAAUGUAGUUGAUCAUUUAAAACACGCACGCAAAGCAAAUAGUGAUUUGCUUUUCUUGGCUGUCGUCUCCAGGCAGGGAUGAUAAUUUGUUCUUUGGACAGGAGUUCACCCUGGCAUUUUAAAGAAGUGAAUUUGCAUUGUACAGUAAAAGUAACUUUGUCAAUCAAUUCAAAAGCAUCGCAGGAAAGCGCACUUACAGGAAGAGCGGUCAUUGGGUCCACCAUUUCCAUUUUCCAUGUCGGUACAACAUACAUGUCCACUAUGUGGACAUCUGUGGUCUACAGUGAUCAAAAUAACAUAUUAAUGUAAAACUGCACUACAACCAGCAACAUUUGUAGAAUUUAUGAUCUUGUACUUGGGCGGGGGGGACCAAAAUAAAAUAUAUAAAUGAUAAGGUCCUACUUCUAAAAGAACAUAGAGAAACAAAACCAUACAUU